rnacentral:rRNA from 1 species
CCUACGGGUGGCAGCAGUGAGGAAUAUUGGUCAAUGGGAGAGAUCCUGAACCAGCCAAGCCGCGUGAGGGAAGACGGUCCUAUGGGUUGUAAACCUCUUUUGUCGGAGAACAAAACCUGGGACGCGUCCCUGGCUGCGUGUAUCCGAAGAAAAAGCAUCGGCUAACUCCGUGCCAGCAGCCGCGGUAAUACGGAGGAUGCGAGCGUUAUCCGGAUUUAUUGGGUUGAAAGGGUGCGUAGGCGGUCUGUUAAGUCAGCGGUAAAAGUGCGGGGCUCAACCCCGGCGCGCCGUUGAAACUGGCAGCCUUGAGUUGGAGAGAAGUACGCGGAAUGCGCGGUGUAGCGGUGAAAUGCAUAGAUAUCGCGCAGAACUCCGAUUGUGAAGGCAGCGUACCGGCGCCAGACUGACGCUGAGGCACGAAAGCGUGGGGAUCGAACAGGAUUAGAUACCCGUGUAGUC